CUUGAUCGAGCCCAGCCACAGCGGCUCGUCCCGGUCCUGCCCGUAGGUCUUGAGGACGGCCUGCGCCUC
rnacentral:antisense_RNA from 1 species